rnacentral:rRNA from 1 species
UGCAAGUCKAGCGRACARAUGGGAGCUUGCUCCCUGAUGUUAGCGGCGGACGGGUGAGUAACACGUGGGUAACCUGCCUGUAAGACUGGGAUAACUCCGGGAAACCGGGGCUAAUACCGGAUGCUUGUUUGAACCGCAUGGUUCAAACAUAAAAGGUGGCUUCGGCUACCACUUACAGAUGGACCCGCGGCGCAUUAGCUAGUUGGUGAGGUAAUGGCUCACCAAGGCAACGAUGCGUAGCCGACCUGAGAGGGUGAUCGGCCACACUGGGACUGAGACACGGCCCAGACUCCUACGGGAGGCAGCAGUAGGGAAUCUUCCGCAAUGGACGAAAGUCUGACGGAGCAACGCCGCGUGAGUGAUGAAGGUUUUCGGAUCGUAAAGCUCUGUUGUUAGGGAAGAACAAGUACCGUUCGAAUAGGGCGGUACCUUGACGGUACCUAACCAGAAAGCCACGGCUAACUACGUGCCAGCAGCCGCGGUAAUACGUAGGUGGCAAGCGUUGUCCGGAAUUAUUGGGCGUAAAGGGCUCGCAGGCGGUUCCUUAAGUCUGAUGUGAAAGCCCCCGGCUCMACCSGGGRGGGUCMUUKGAAAMUGGGGAACUUGAGUGCMGAAGAGGAGAGUGGAAUUYCMCGUGUAGCGGUGAAAUGCGUAGAGAUKUGGRGGAACACCAGUGGSGAAGGSGRCUYUUUGKUYUGUAAMUGACGCUGAGGRGSGAAARCGUGGGGRGCGAACMGGAUUWGAUACCCU